rnacentral:rRNA from 1 species
AUGGAGGGUGACCAUGACGCCCUCGUCUGCCAGUUCAUGCAGGUCACGGCCUGCAUCUCCCUCUCGGACGCCGCCCAGCACCUCGCGUCCUGCAGCUGGCGGCUCGACGAGGCCGUAAAUCUCUACUUCGCCGGCGGUGCCGCAUCGUCGGCGCCGGUGGUGCCAAAGGACGAGCCUGCUGUGCGCGCUCCCAUCCCUGCCCGCUCCGAGACAAUCUACGGCCCCUCGUCCUCGACCGCUCGUCGUCAACCACGAGUCAGACCUACCGGAUGGGAGAGCGAACACGACGACGCACCAGCACCCGCAGCCGAGGGCCACCCUCGCCGCCGCCGCCGCGGCGAAGAGUGCACCUCAGGUGGCAGCACCACGGAUCAGGCGGGCAAGAAGAAGAAGAAGACCCUGGCGGAGCUGUUCCGGGCGCCGGUCGAGCUGACGUACAAGGGGCGGUUCCACGACGCCAAGGCGCACGCGGCGGGCCUGUCCCGCUGGCUGCUGGUGAACGUGCAGGCGAGCGGCGAGUUCGCGUCCCACCAGCAGAACCGCGACGUGUGGGCCAACGAGCUGGUGGCGCAGGCCGUCCGGGAGCGCUUCGUGCUCUGGCAGGUGGACGUGGACGAGCGGGAGGACGGCCUCGACGAGGGCGGCAAGGUGUCGUGCUACUACAAGCUCGCCCACGACAUGAUGCCCCACGUGCUGGUGGUCGACCCGGUGACCGGGCAGCUGAUGCACAGGAUGCGCGCCGCCACCGACCCGAACGACAUGAUCGCCGUGGCCGACAAGUUCGCGGAGAGGCGGCCGGUCAUGCCCGCCAAAGCAACCAAGCAUCGUGCUGCGUCAUCAGCCGCUCCGCCUCCGCGCGGCAAGCAAGAAGCGCCGCCGGUGGGCACGGCGGCAUCGAGCAGCAGUGAUCCAUCUGCAACGACGGCGACGAAGAGAGUCGAGACCGCCGCGGCCGCGGUGGCACCGCCGACCUGUGAGAUGGCACCCGGGCCCGGGGAGAAACUGUGCAAGCUGAGGGUUCGAUUGCCCGACGGUCGGGCGCUCACGAAGCAGUUCGGUGCUCAGCGCGGAGUCGCCGCGCUUUUCGCGUUUUGCAGGUCAGAGGAAGAGCGGCCGUUCCGGCUCAUGCGCUUGGCCGCCGGUGGCUCCAUGCAGCAAAUAGGUGACGAGAAUGUGUCGUUUGACGAUUUGGGGCUACACAUGUCCACUGUUUUUAUGGUUCUAAGCUGGUCCUAG